rnacentral:lncRNA from 1 species
CCAUUCCACUUAUAUCUCACUCCCGUGUCACAUGAUACAACUGACCCAUUUACAUGAAUCUAUAAUCAAGCCCCGUAUUGUGUACAAAGAUUCUCCAAACUGCUUCACACCUACAUUAGGAUCCCAAAAAGAAGUAAAUACUGUUACAACCACCAAUUAAGAGUCCAGAAGCUUUUAAACAAAAAGAAAUAACCUUGAAUGAAAACCCGUUAAAAUAUUAAAAACAAAUAUCAUACGUAACCAUAACCGAAUUUGUUAGCGACAGCCUCUGAAAACAGAGAGUCAAGAAAAACCAAAAAAAAGGAAAAAAUAUGGUAACCUAAAAACAAAUAACACAAAGGCCAAACGAAGACUUAUCAAUUUUCUCCAUCAGGAUGGCCAGCCAACGAAAAACUGCACAUGAAGGCCAACAUCAUGCGAACAGCUAUUAAGGACAAGUUUUCAAAAAGGAAGAUGAAGGUCAAAAAGAACAGUGGCAGAGCUUGAAAAACCAGAAAAGUAUCUUCUGCAACCUACAAUCACCAUCUUAUUUCUCCACUGGAUCCAACUCAAUCACUUAGAUGCACACAUAUAGCUAUCAAUCACAAAUGCAAGAAAAAUAGCAAAAACACUGUCCCAACUAGCAAGGACAUCCACAAUCCUUCGAAACUAGCAAGUGAUCACCGGAAUCUUUCCAAACCUAUAACACUACCACACAAACCUUCAGGAUAUUCACAAUCUUUCAAAACUAGCAAGUGAUCACCGGAAUCUUUCCAAACCUAUAAAACUACCACACAAACCUGUACUUCUCCUGAGCUAUUCAAACAAAUUUUGGGUAAAUGUAAGACAGAGACAAUUAAAAUAGCAUUCUCACUUUCUCAUCUACUUACCUAAUCCCUUCCUGAGCUCCAUCCACAAAUAGAUAAACAGCUAUAUAAGAUCUCAUUCUCCCUGCAUAUUGCUAAUAAUUUCAAACAGUAGCAUCUAGAGACCAAAGAAUCAAGAACACGUAAGCACAAAAAGCAAUCAAAAAGCAAUAUACUGCAUGAAAAACUAGGAAAAGAAGACAUUCCAAAACAAAGAAUAAAAGAAGUGCAAAACUAUUAAGAAAAAAUAACCCCCCUUCAAACUGGCAGCAAGAUCCUUAUCCUUGCCCUUCCUGCUCUUAAUUUUGGAAACUGAUAACACAUCUGCAUCUAAAAUAAUGAAGAGACAAAAAUUCAUAUCAUGCUCACUGACAUUAACUACACAGGAUCUUAAAAAUUCCAAAACUAGAGAAUUUUGAGUGACAUGAUAAGAACCAGGAAAGCAUGUCUCCUUGGAGUUAAGGCAUUCCAAAAUUGAAUAUCCAAGACACCCUGAUAAACAAAACCAUAAAAAGACAUUAAAAGCAAAAAAUCCAAGACGCCCUAAAGUUCACAAUCUUAGACAAUGAAAUACAAUUUCCAUAUGCAUUAGUCAACAGAACUUCAAAAACCAGAAAAUAUCUGCGGCUACCUACAGUCACAAAAUACAUAUAGAAUUCCAAGCACAAACAAGAGAAAAAUGUUUGCGUAUAAGAUUGCGACCCCAAUUAGCAAGUGACGUCCACAAUCUUUUGACACUAGCAAGUGACCACUAGAAUCUUUCAAAACCUGACAACAACCAUACAAACCGUACUUUAUCUCAAGUCUUAAGCAAACAAUAGGUCAAUGUGAGACAAAUAUUUAAAGUGGUCAUCCAUUAUCGCUUUUCAUCAACUCACCUCCCUCUAAACCUCCAUCCACAAAGAUAUGAGAUAACAAUCUCCUUCUCCUGCGGAAAGCUAAAUUGCUAAUAGUUCCUAAUAGCAACCUGACCCAAGAAUCAAGAACAUAUUAAUGGCAAAAAACAACCAGGAACAACACACGGUCAUCCAUGUCCUUCAUAAUAAUUCUGGAAAUUCAUAACACCAAACACUCAGCUAAAUAAUAAAAGGGUCAAAAAUUCAUAUCAAGCUCCUUACCAACACACGGUCCACCAAAACCAAGUAUUUUAGAGUGUUAUAGUGGUGGUCACUACUCACAACACGGAAGGAGAGACAUUCCUAGUAAUAGUGGCGAUCACGGCCAUGAAGAAGAUCAAGGAUCAGCACUUUAGAAAAGGAAAGCCAGCAACAUCACCGCAGGCAGAAACCAUAUAUUGAAAUAUCUUCCAAAAUCGCAAAACAAAACAAGAAAAAUAUAACUCGUAAUAGAAGAAGGGAACACAAAAGAACCAUCUGUUCAUCCACACAACAAAUUUCGUGAAAAGAAAGCCAAAACGCAUUAUGUUCAAAAUUGAAUGGUACCAAAACUUUUGUGAAAACCCUGAGAAGAAUAAAUAUCAAAACAGAUAGAUUUAAUAAGAUCUCAAUAAAAAGAUUGAGUUGGGCAAUGAAGGCCACGAGGAAGUUUAGGGAUCAGCAGUUUAGAAAAGGAAAGCCAGCAACAUCACUGCAAGCAGAAACCAUAUAUUUAAAUACCAUAAAGAAGCUGGAAGCAAUCUUCUUGAGAAUUAUCACAAAACCGGAAAUCCAAGAGGCAUGAUCAAACAAAGCCAUAACAGAUACUGACAGCAUUAAAAACUAAGAGGCCCUGAGACAAGGGUGGAAAAAUAUUUUAAAAAGAACAUAUGUAACCAUAUUAUAAAUUCAGUGUUAUGUGCAGAAGGUAGAAUCUAUAAUAAAAAUAGGGUCAAUACACUCAUAUCCCACUCAGUAACAUAACUCCACAAGAUCCUAAAAGCUUGAAAACAAAAGACUAUAAAGAAAUACAAUAAGAACCAGGAAGCAAAUCUCCUUGAGAGUUUAAACGGUGUUCCAAGAUUGAAAAUCCAAGAGAGCCUCAUCAAACAAAACCAUAAAAGAUACUAAGAGCAUUAAAAACUAAUAGACCCUGAAACAAGGAUGGAAAAAUUAAAAAAAAAAAAAAAAAUAUUUAAACUUAUGUGCUUAAGGUAGAAUCUCCAUAACUGAAGUUGUUAACAACAGCCUAUGAUAACAAAGAGUCAAGAUAAACCAAAAAACAAGGAAAAAGAUGGUGAC